UACGAGGGGUGCAAACGUUGCUCGGAAUUAUUGGGCGUAAAGCGCACGUAGGCGGCUUUGCAAGUCGGAUGUGAAAUCCCUCGGCUCAACCAAGGAAGUGCAUCCGAAACUGCAGAGCUUGAGUACUUAAGAGGAUCGCGGAAUUCCCGGUGUAGAGGUGAAAUUCGUAGAUAUCGGGAGGAACACCAGUGGCGAAGGCGGCGAUCUGGGAAGAUACUGACGCUGAGGUGCGAAAGCGUGGGGAGCAAACAGG
rnacentral:rRNA from 1 species